rnacentral:rRNA from 1 species
CAGCCGCCACGGUAAUACGUAGGUCCCGAGCGUUGUCCGGAUUUACUGGGCGUAAAGCGAGCGCAGGCGGUUAGAUAAGUCUGAAGUUAAAGGCUGUGGCUUAACCAUAGUAUGCUUUGGAAACUGUUUAACUUGAGUGCAGAAGGGGAGAGUGGAAUUCCAUGUGUAGCGGUGAAAUGCGUAGAUAUAUGGAGGAACACCGGUGGCGAAAGCGGCUCUCUGGUCUGUAACUGACGCUGAGGCUCGAAAGCGUGGGGAGCGAACAGGAUUAGAUACCCCUGUAGUCCCUGUCUCUUAUACA